rnacentral:rRNA from 1 species
CCUACGGGUGGCAGCAGUGAGGAAUAUUGGUCAAUGGGCGCGAGCCUGAACCAGCCAAGUCGCGUGAAGGAUGACUGCCCUACGGGUUGUAAACCUCUUUUAUCAAGGAACAAAGCGAGCCACGUGUGCCUUUUUGUAUGUACCCUAAGAAUAAGGAUCGGCUAACUCCGUGCCAGCAGCCGCGGUAAUACGGAGGAUUCGAGCGUUGUCCGGGUUUAUUGGGUUUAAAGGGUGCGUAGGUGGGUUGUCAAGUCAGGUGGUAAAGUUCGGGGCUCAACCGUAGAAUGGCAGUUGAUACUGGCAUGCUUGAGUGCGGGUGAAGUAGGCGGAAUGCGUGGUGUAGCGGUGAAAUGCAUAGAUAUCACGAAGAACUCCGAUUGCGAAGGCAGCAUACUG